AUGGGAUUCGCUUGGAACCAAUCCUACUACUUCGCGUCCCGGGGUUUCCACAAUUGAAGAAAAAAGCGCAGGGCGUAUUGAUCAAAUUAUUGGACCCGUGCUAGAUAUCACUUUUCCCCCGGGCAAGUUGCCUUAUAUUUAUAACGCUUUGAUAGUAAGAGUCGAGACACUGCCGAUAAGCAAAUUAAUGUGACUUGUGAGGUACAACAAUUAUUAGGAAAUAAUCGAGUUAGAGCUGUAGCUAUGAGUGCUACAGACGGGUUGAUGAGAGGAAUGGAAGUGAUUGACACGGGAGCUCCUCUCAGUGUUCCAGUCGGUGGAACUACUCUCGGACGAAUUUUUAACGUUCUGGGGGAGCCUAUUGACAAUUUGGGUCCUGUAGAUACUAGUGCAACAUUCCCUAUUCAUAGAUCUGCGCCUGCCUUUAUCGAGUUAGAUACGAAAUUAUCUAUCUUUGAAACAGGUAUUAAGGUGGUCGAUCUUUUAGCUCCUAUCGACGUGGAGGAAAAAUCGGACUAUUUGGGGGAGCAGGAGUAGGUAAAACAGUACUCAUCAUGGAAUUAAUCAAUAACAUUGCUAAAGCUCAUGGAGGCGUAUCCGUAUUUGGCGGAGUAGGGGAACGGACUCGUGAAGGAAAUGAUCUUUAUAUGGAAAUGAAGGAAUCUGGAGUAAUUAAUGAAAAAAAUAUUGAGGAAUCAAAGGUAGCUCUAGUCUAUGGCCAAAUGAAUGAACCACCGGGAGCUCGUAUGAGAGUUGGUUUAACUGCCCUAACUAUGGCGGAAUAUUCCGAGAUGUUAAUAAGCAAGACGUGCUUUUAUUCAUCGAUAAUAUCUUUCGUUUUGUUCAAGCAGGAUCGGAAGUAUCCGCCUUAUUAGGAAGAAUGCCCUCCGCAGUGGGUUAUCAACCUACCCUUAGUACAGAAAUGGGUUCUUUGCAAGAAAGAAUUGCUUCUACCAAAAAGGGAUCUAUAACUUCGAUCCAAGCAGUUUAUGUACCUGCGGACGAUUUGACCGACCCUGCCCCUGCCACAACAUUUGCACAUUUGGACGCUACUACCGUACUUUCCAGAGGAUUGGCUCCAAGGGUAUUAUCCCGCAGUAGAUCCUUUAGAUUCAACCUCAACUAUGUUACAGCCUCGGAUCGUUGGCAACGAACAUUAUGAAACUGCACAAAGAGUUAAGGAAACUUUACAACGUUACAAAGAACUUCAGGACAUUAUCGCAAUUCUUGGGUUGGACGAAUUAUCGGAGGAGGAUCGUUUAACUGUAGCAAGAGCACGAAAAAUCGAGCGGUUCUUAUCACAACCGUUCUUUGUGGCAGAAGUUUUUACCGGUUCCCCAGGAAAGUAUGUUGGUCUUGCAGAAACAAUUAGGGGAUUUCAACUAAUCCUUUCUGGAGAAUUAGACGGCCUACCCGAACAGGCUUUUUAUUUGGUGGGGAACAUCGAUGAAGCUAGCACGAAGCUAUAAACUUAGAAGAGGAGAGCAAAUUGAAGAAAUGAAAUUAAAUCUUUAUGUACUGACUCCUAAACGAAUUAUUUGGGAUUGUGAAGUGAAAGAAAUCAUUUUAUCUACUAAUAGUGGCCAAAUUGGUGUAUUACCAAACCACGCCCCCAUUAACACAGCUGUAGAUAUGGGUCCUUUGAGAAUACGCCUCCUCGACGACCAAUGGUUAACGGCGGUUCUGUGGAGUGGUUUUGCGCGAAUAGUUAAUAAUGAGAUCAUUAUUUUAGGAAAUGAUGCAGAACUCGGUAGUGACAUUGAUCCAGAAGAAGCUCAACAGGCACUUGAAAUAGCCGAAGCUAACUUGAGUAGAGCUGAGGGUACGAAAGAAUUGGUUGAAGCGAAGCUAGCUCUCAGACGAGCUAGGAUACGAGUCGAGGCUGUCAAUUGGAUUCCCCCAUCUAAUUGAAGACAAUCCAAAGGUUUCGUUGAUACAAAGAAAAAGGAAAGAAGGGUAGAAAAAGUUAUUAGAUAGCGAAGCGAAGUAAGUCCAAUGCUAUCUAGUAAUUUUUCUACCUACCUACCUACUAUUGGAUUUGAACCAAUGACUCCCGCCGUAUGAAAGCAAUACUCUAACCACUGAGUUAAGUAGGCAAUUUAUCACCACAAAAGAAGCCCCAUUACUUCGAUCGAUUAUAGAUCGAAUCCUUUUUAUAAGCAAUACCCCUCUGUUAUUGGUAUAUUUAUGUUAUGUUAUUGGUAUGUUUACUAUGUUAUAUAGUAAACGGAUCAGAGGAAUAUCCUCUGGCAUUAGAGAAUAUUCAUCUUGACAAGAAAUUAUCUAUAUGUUAAGAUAUCUCUGACAAGGGCUAUAGCUCAGUUCGGUAGAGCAACUCGCUUACACGUGCGCCAAUGCUUUUCAAGGGAACUUAUUAUGCAAUGAACAUAAUUGAACUUAAUUGCAAAAUCAAUGUCUUACUUCAUGGAUUCGAAAGAAUAGGAGAACAGUAGCUGACAAACAGUCGGUUCAGUCCGAUUCAGGUGCCAAUUCAGGUACUUAAUCAAAUAGAACCCCUAUUGAUUUGCUAGUUGAUAAGGUAAAUAUCCAGCCCACUCAAUGCUAGGCGUAAUGAGGAUAAGGGCCUCCAAAAAACUUCUUUUCGUUCUAUGAACUUUAAGGUGUAUGAAGUCUCAUAGUAAACUCUUGCAGCGGAACGAUAGAGACUCCAUUUCACUUAGGUUGAUUUAAUUUAGGCCGGAGGCAGACCUAAGUCAAGGUAAUCCUCCUUUGAAACACUUUGGUAUUGCUCCUAGAUAGAUCAUAAGAAAAAUAAUCAAUCAGAGCACAGGGAGCCAUCUUAUUAUCUUUCUCUAAAGAAAAACUAUGGCGGAUUAACUGAUCUUUACAUCAGUUGAUGAAAGAGCCCAAUGCAGAAAAUAAAAAUGCAUGUUGGGUCUUUGAAACAGUUCGAAUCAUUUCGAUAAUAAUCCGUUUGAUCUGUUUUACCGAGAAGGUCUACGGUUCGAAUCCGUAUAGCCCUAAUAUAUACGUCUUUUUUUCAUUUUAGGAUGGAUAUCUUAUGUUUACUUUAGUAUAGUUUUUUUCCUUAUUAGUACUUGUUUAUAGACUCGACGAUCGAUUGCGCCAUAGAAUAGAGAUAAAAGCAUUACCAUAGGCUCCAUUCAUGGAAAAUCAUAGAGACAGGAAAAGAAAAAAGAAUUUUGAUCAAAUCAAUAGAAAUAGAAGAAAGGAUCCCUUAACUAAUUUGACUUCCAUCCUCCUUCAAAUAGGAUAUGCUCUAAGUCCCUAUACUUUCCUAUAAUGACUGCAACGAUUUUCUCCAUUUUGCGAAUUCCUAUUUUGUUUGAAGUAUAUUACUAUAUAUACAUUAUCUAAAUAUACAUUAUCUAAAUCGAUCCACUUUAAAGAAAAUAAAAAAAAUCGAAAGAAAAAAAAAAAAAAGAAAGAGUAAAUAAUAAAACUGGAUAUUCUGUUUCAUAAUUCUGAAAUAGAGUUCUUUUUUUUUAGUAUUACUCUUCAUUAGGAUGCAUACAUUAGUUAUCCCAUUUUAAUUAGGUUCUAAUCGAAUUAGUAGUAAGUAUUUUCUUUUUUAUUUAAUAGUCUCUGACUAUCAUUAAAUAAAGGGUAGAGCAAUUCUUUUUCUAGAGAUUUUAGAGAAAGCGAGACAAAGUGAAGCGAAAGAGUUUUCUUUGUAUAAGAAUUAGGUCUCUAUCAUAUCUAAAUAGAUGAUAAAUAAAAAAAAAAAGGGAGUGGGGAUUCCAUUGGAUGAAUCUCCUUAAGGAGAGACAUGUUACAAAAGAAACAAAGGCUAAAGUAAGCUGCUUUUUGCCUUUGGUUUGAGCAAAACAGAUUCUUGUUUCACUGAGGAAAAGAGAGAGGUUCUGGAUAAAUUGAUAAUGUCAUGUCAACUUGAAUUGACUAAUUCAGUUCUGCCUAUUCCACAUUAAUAGGAGUACAUUUAUGUUUCUGCUUCACGAAUAUGAUAUUUUUUGGACAUUUCUAAUAAUAGCAAGCCUUAUUCCUAUUUUGGUAUUUUGGAUUUCAGGACUUUUAGCCCCUAGUAGUGAAGGACCAGAGAAGCUUUCUAGUUAUGAAUCGGGUAUAGAACCCAUGGGGGGGGCUUGGUUACAAUUCCGAAUACGCUAUUACAUGUUUGCGCUAGUUUUUGUUGUUUUUGAUGUGGAAACGGUCUUUCUCUAUCCUUGGGCAAUGAGUUUCGACGUAUUGGGUGUAUCCGUUUUUAUCGAAGCUUUCAUUUUUGUGCUUAUCCUAGUUGUUGGUUUAGUUUAUGCA